GAUGAACGCUGGCGGCGUGCCUAAUACAUGCAAGUCGAGCGAAUGAUGAGGAGCUAGCUCCUCUGAUUUAGCGGCGGACGGGUGAGUAACACGUGGGUAAUCUGCCUGUAAGACGGGGAUAACUCCGGGAAACCGGGGCUAAUACCGGAUAACAAGAGAAGAAGCAUUUCUUCUUUUUGAAAGUCAGUUUUGGCUGACACUUACAGAUGAGCCCGCGGCGCAUUAGCUAGUUGGUGAGGCAACGGCUCACCAAGGCGACGAUGCGUAGCCGACCUGAGAGGGUGAUCGGCCACACUGGGACUGAGACACGGCCCAGACUCCUACGGGAGGCAGCAGUAGGGAAUCUUCGGCAAUGGGCGAAAGCCUGACCGAGCAACGCCGCGUGAGCGAUGAAGGCCUUCGGGUCGUAAAGCUCUGUUGUUAGAGAAGAACAAGUACGAGAGUAACUGCUCGUACCUUGACGGUACCUAACCAGAAAGCCACGGCUAACUACGUGCCAGCCGCCGCCGUAA
rnacentral:rRNA from 1 species